CAGGUCAGUCCAAUAAUGUGUACAGCCUGAACCAAAGCCACAGUUACCACUAACCUUGAUCACAACCAGUAUAACCAUAAACUAAACUAACCAGCUCCCCAGAAAUGCCGUUCUACCUCAUUAGGACCUGGUUUCCUGGUCUCCAUGAGGACUACUUGUCCAGAUAAGGUCAGUGUGUAAACCAGAUAAGGUUUUUAAAGAGGUAACAAAUACAAAGGUACACACUUACAUGACAGCUGCUGGGUCUCUGCAUCGCUCCGUCUGUCUCUGUCAUCUUUAAACACACACUUCAUAGCAAACACUGUCACUGUCUCUACAAAGUUCUAACACAUGUCCUCACACAUGUCUCUCAUUCAACACUUAAUCUCUUGUGUCUUUCUUCCUGUCUUUUCUGUUCUCAGUGAGUGUGAGUUUCCUCUCUGAGUCUCUCCCUCCACCUGGUGCGUCAUCGCCAUGACCACACCCAGCUGGCCCUGGACCUGCCUCCGCACACACCUACACCUGACUUUACAGAGACUUUAAGAGUGAGCAUUAAUGCCUCGCUGGUGCCAGAAGUCAGAGGAGAGUGACCACACUGGUUUGAAAUUACGAGAAAGACAACAGUCACUCAAAUAACCGCUUGUCACAACCAUGGUAUCCAGUCCAACCUUGACGCAGAGAUUGUUUUCUUCACAACACCAACAACGACUGCCUAGAGAUGAUAGUGCAUGAAAAUCAGACCAUCGCGCCUGACACCACUUAAACGCACGAUGCUAAACCGACUGACGAUUCAAAGACCCACAGACACAGAAACAAAGAAGCUGCCUCUCUCUGAGGUGAAAUGGAACGCUCCCAAAGAGCCAGAUGGAGGAGAGAAUAACGAGCCGAAUGGAAUUAAACCUGAGGCUUUUUGGUUCCACAAGUGAAGACAUGUGGAAGAUAUGGAGAGGAGUGAGAAGAGGGGAAGAAAAGAAGGAUGGAGAACGAACAGUGCAAGACUGAGUGAACUGUGGCGCAACUCUGUGUCUGGUGCUUUUUUCAGCAUCAGUAGUUUGCUGUGACACAGAGUUCACUGUUCCAGUAAAGCACUGACUUUUUGAAGAUAUGACAGGUCUUGUGAGGUAAUAAGCACGACUCCAUUCUGGAACUGGAUCAAGAUUCGGAAUGACUUAAUCAAUAAUCUCAUCUUACAGACAAUUACGUUGUCUGAAUGUGAGACGGUUAAGCAGCGUCAUGAAUUAUAGACAACGCUCUUUGCCAAAGUAGUAUUUAAACAAUCCAUCAACAUGAAAAUUGAUGUGUUAUGAGGAUCAGACAAGACACAAAAGGGUGUUUUUCAUCUAUGUUUGUGCUCCAUGACAUGUGAUCAUGGCCCUGAGUCACAUCAAUUAUUACAAUAAAUGAAUAAUUUCGAUGUUUUGAUGCACACAUGCUGGAGGAGGAUUUUCAUUUAGGGGAACAGAACAAUUACAUUUUUAAUUUAAGUGCUGUGAGUUUAUGAUCGAGGACAUAAACAGAAAACUGUCUUUCUUACAUAAUAAACAUGACUGCACA